rnacentral:rRNA from 1 species
AACGGCCGUACCAUGCUGAAUAUACCGGUUCUCGUUAGAUCACCGAGGUUAAGCAUCAUUGGGCGCGGUCAGUACUUGGGUGGGUGACCACCUGGGAACACUGCGUGCCGUU